ensembl:antisense
AGUGAGGCCCGAUCCUCUCCUCCCACCUACAGGACCACAGGCCGGGGGCCAGGCCGACAACGCUUAAGCUUGGACCGGGACAUGGGCAGGACAUGGGGGACAGUCACAAUUACCGAUGUUCCUGUGACCCUGCAACUGCUCCAGCGCCGCCCUCUCUUUGCGGAAACCAUACUCCGCGGCCGAGGCCGCAGCCCCGGUGGUUCCCGGAGGCAGGAACUGCUUGAGGGCGCCGGGGGGCGAGCCCGGGGUGCCGCAGCACCGCACCCGGUACACCGAGGCCGAGGAGCCGCUGCCCAGGCGGCUCUGGACCUGCCACAGCCGCCCGAAGGCCUCCAGGAAGCGCGGCGGCUCGGCGCCCCACGCGCAGCCGGACCCCGCCAUGGUGCGGGCUGGGGCGAGGACACGCGAGCCGACACGACGCGCCAGGCAGGCCCGCGGCGCCCGCCGUCACAUCCCCGCCCGGACCCGCCGCUCCGCAGGGAGGGGCCUGCAGCGCCCGGACCGACUCCCCGGACCUCAGGCCGCCAUGACACCGGAAGCCGGAGUGCACUCGGACCCAGCAGCCGGAAGUGGGGGAAAGCCAAUCCUAGAGGCUAAAGGAGGCGGGCCUAAGAGGGGCGGGGCCUCCGGGGGGAAAAUUUUGUUUAGCAAAAAAAAAAAAAAAAAGACUGACAUAUUAAACUUAAUUAUUAGAGUUGGCGGUGUAGCACAGU